AGCUCUCUACAUAUUCUCGAUAUUAAUUCUUUGUCUGAUAUAUGCAUAUAUAUGUAUAUGAAUAUAUAUAUACCCACACAUAUAUGCAUAUUUCAAAGAAUUAAUAUCGAGAAUAUGUAGAGAGCA
rnacentral:miRNA from 1 species